UGCCCCCGCCAGGAUUGCCGGUCGCUGAGAGGGGGCGGCGCUUCAGGUAGUGCGAGCCGAGCCGAGCCGAGCCGCGGCCUAGGCGACAGAGGCGGCGGUUGAAGGAUGUCCUGGAAAGAAGAGAGCGACGCGGCUAUGAAAAGCAUGUUUGAACGUGGUCCAAAGAAGAGACAAGUGAAAACACUAGCAACUUCCCUCCUGGAAGCAUUAGAUUAUGACAGCUCUGAUGACAGUGACUUUGAAGUGGGAGAUGCUUCAGAUUCUGAUGGCAGUGGGGAAAGUGCUGGUAAGGACAGUGAAGAAGGUUCGGAGAGUGAGGGAGGACAAAAUGGCAGUGAGGAAGACUCAGAGCAGGAUAAAAAGGUUACCAUUGAUGAAAAGAUUGUUGAAUGCAAGGAUGAUCAAGCCGAAGAACCUGUAAUCAAAGAAGAAACUGAAAAUGAAACCAGUCAGAAGAAAACUAAAGAAUCCAUGGAUGACGUUGCACCAGAUGAAUCAAACGAUGGGCAAAAGAAGUGGAAUCUACGUAAAAAGAGAACAAUGCUUGACAUGAUAUCAGUGGAAGAAUUGAAUGGGUUUGAUGAUUACGACAGUGAAGAUGAUAAUGAUUGGCGGCCUUGUGAGAAAAAGAAAGGAAAAGGUGUAAAUGAUGAUGAUGAUGAAGGUGGUGGUGAGGAUGAUAUCAGUGACAGUGAUGAGGGCAAUCCUGAUGAUGAAGACAGCAGCAGUGCCAGUGAGGAUGAUAAGCGAAUUAGAAGAAAAAACAGGCCAUCUAAUCGAAAUGCUGCCAAGACAGAAGGAACGACUGACAGUUUUCUGUCCCAGAAUAAGAAUUAUGAGGAUUCCUUUUCAACAGACAGAGACCAAAACUUCAGUUCUCAGAAAAUGGACUUUGUACAGAUUUGCUGUGUUUGUCUUGGAGAUAACAGUGAAGAUGCAGAUGAAAUUGUCCAGUGUGACAAUUGUGGAGUAACUGUACAUGAAGGUUGCUAUGGUGUUGAUGGAGAAAGUGACUCCAUAAUGAGUUCUGCCUCUGAAAACUCGACAGAACCCUGGUUUUGUGAUGCUUGCAAAUGUGGUGCGACACCCAGUUGUGAACUAUGCCCGAACUUAGAUGGAAUUUUUAAAGAGACCGAUGCUGGAAGGUGGGUUCACGUUGUUUGUGCUCUUUAUGUUCCUGGUGUGGCAUUUGGAGAUAUAGAUAAACUUCGUCCUGUUACUCUUACAGAAAUGAACUAUUCAAAGUAUGGUGCUAAGGAAUGUAGCUUAUGUGAAGAUAUACGAUUUGCUCGAACUGGAGUUUGCAUAAGUUGUGAUGCUGGUAUGUGUAGAGCAUAUUUCCAUGUUACCUGUGCUCAGAGAGAAGGACUGCUUUCUGAAGCAGCUGCUGAAGAGGAUAUAGCUGAUCCAUUUUUUGCAUAUUGCAAACAGCAUGCUGACAAAUUUGACAGAAAGUGGAAACGAAAGAACUAUUUAGCUUUGCAGUCAUACUGUAAAAUGACCUUGCAAGAGCGAGACAAGCACGUUGCCCCCGAAGCUCAGGCUCGCAUUACUACAAGGCUACAGCAAUAUCGUGCUAAAGUGGAGUUAGCUCGCAGCACCAAACCCAAUGCAUGGGUUCCCAGGGAGAAGUUGCCACGACCACUCACCAGCAGUGCCUCAGUGAUACGCAAACUUAUGCGGAAAGCUGAGCUGAUGGGAAUUAGCACCGACAUUUUCCCUGUAGACACUUUAGAUACCAGCUCCAGUGUAGAUGGCAGGAGAAAGCACAAACAACCAGCCUUGACUGCUGACUUUGUGAAUUAUUAUCUUGAGAGGAACAUGCGCAUGAUGCAGAUACAAGAGAAUAUUUGUGAACAAAAGAACUUGAAGGAUAAACUUCAAAAUGAGCAGGAAUCUCUUCAUGUAGAAUACAACAAGUUGUUUGAAUCUCUAGAAAAUCUGAGAGACAAGAAUGGUAAAUUACGUCGAGAGGGGCAAAUGCUGUGGAGUACACUCAGUAGUAUAGUUGGACAGAAAUUGAAUUUCCCUGUGAUUUUGCGUACACCUAAGGAAAGACGACCUAGUAAAAAGGAUGGAGGAACUUUAAAAUCAAUGGCACCUCCUGCAGUAUUGUACAGUUGUGGAAUUUGUAAGAAGAAUCAUGACCAACACCUCCUUGUUUUGUGUGACACUUGCAAACUCUAUUAUCAUCUUGGUUGUUUAGAUCCCCCACUCACCAGGAUGCCCAAAAAGACCAAAAACAGUUACUGGCAAUGUUCAGAAUGUGACCAAGCUGGGAGUAGUGAUCUAGAGGCAGACAUCACGAUGGAAACUUUACCAGAUGGGACCAAGAGAUCAAGGAGGCAGAUUAAGGAGCCUGUGAAAUUCACUCCAUUGGAUAUUGUGAUUGAACCAAAGAAGAUCAUGAACAAAAAUAUGAGAAGUAAAGGGCAGAAACGAAAAAGAGGUACCAGCUCGGAUGGCGAAAAGGCUGAGGAACCAAUUCCUCCUAGAACAAGACGACGACGGCAAACCUCAUUACAGAAAAGACCAAAAUCUGAAGACCUGAGAACAGAAUGUGCUACCUGCAAGAAUCCUGGAGACAAUGAAAAUUUAGUCAGAUGUGAUGAAUGCAGACUUUGUUACCACUUUGGUUGCCUCGAUCCACCCCUGAAGAAAUCCCCAAAGCAGACAGGUUAUGGUUGGAUCUGUCAGGAGUGUGACUCUACAUCUUCAAAAGGAAUUGGCAUUGAAUUUUACUACCUUCCUCACCUUUUUAGAGGUGGAGUAUUGAUCAGGAUGAAAUCAUAAUCUAUUGUGUUAACCCUUUACCUCAUAACAACAAAUAAGGUGUAACAUAACAAGAAGAUGAAGAAGAGCUGGAGGAUGAUGAUGAAGAAGAAGUGGAAGAAGAAAAUGACUUCGCCCCAGUAAAUGAAUAAGGACCGAAUGACUUCAUAGAGAAAAUAAAGUUGAUACAUGUCUCAAUUUCAGAUCAACUCUUAGAAAGCGUUUCUGUUUUGUCUUACAUUACAGCUGUUAAGUUGUCAGUUAGUUCUUUGUCUGUAAACCUGUUAUAUAUACCUCCCUAACUUUUUUAAUAAAAUGUUGCGUGUAUGUAUAUAGAUAAUCCUUCAUUGAUAUUUCAAUUUUAGCAGUUGUUUAUCUGUACUUCUCAAUCUCAGAUCCAUGAGUGAAUAUUUCUUGCUCAGAUAUCUCUUUUUAUAAAGUAUCAAAUUCCCUAUGUGACUGUAACAGAAUUAAAAUCAUUAAAGAAAUUAAAGCAGUUAGUGCAGUAGAUUUUCAGAAGAAGCCAUGACUUGUUCUGUUGUCGUAGAAGUUCAGUACUUUGCUUUUGAGGACUCAUCAGACCUGAUGUUUUGGCAGGAGAUAACUCAGUCCAAAUUCUCUGUGAAAUUUUAAUUUUGGAUCUGUACAAUGCUAAUAAAUCGAAUACAAUCAUGGGUUCAGAUUAAAAUUAUGCCAUUAAAAUGAAAUUAAAAAGUUUGUUUUGAAAUUUAAAACUCACUGAAAGUGCAGAACUGCCUCAUUAGAAACCACAUUUUACCAACAGCAAAAGGUCUAAAUUGGGUGCCAAACUUGGAUGUGGAGGCAGCUAAACUACGCUGUUGUCUGUCCUUGAAAUUACCUCUUCCCUGUAGAUAAUAUCUAGGUGCAGUUAUCCAAUAAGAGGCCAGAUCCCUGCUGCAGGUGAAGCCCAGUGCAACAAAUAUCCAUUCCUGUUAAAGGCCCAGUUCCCAGAAGUUUCCGUGACAACCAUACACAAAUUUUCAUCUAAAUAAUUUUGCUUAUUUUGGUUCGGAUCAAACUAUGUUCUGAUGUUAACUUAUUGUACACGCUUGCAAAAUGUAUAUAUACUUUGAAUGGCAGAUGAGUAUUCAUACUGCAAUUUAUAAGUUUAUAUUUAAUUUUAAAAGAAAAUUGCAACUUGGUUGAAAUAAUAAAUUAGAUUUUAGUUAUCACUAAUUUUAGUGCUUAUUACCACCAGAGGAACAAAUCCAUACUUAUCUAGCAUGGAUCUUCCUUCCUCAUUAAACAUUCACUUCUUUGUGCUGACAGGAUAAACUAUCACUGGAAAAAUGAGUAAAGGUCUAUCCCACAUUUAACUAACUGUUGUGCCUACUCACAAUGCAGAGACUGCUUUAUAAAAUCCCCAAAGUUCUCCUAUGCUUGCAAAGCACAUAUGCAAUGUUUCAAGAUUCAAGAUUGUUUAAUGUCAUUUCCAGUACACAAGCGUAAAGGUUCACGAAAUAAUUGUUAUUCGGGAUUUGAUGCAGCGCAGAAGUACACAGUAAGAUAAAGAACGUUAAAAUAAUAAGAGAACACAAUAAAUAUAAAUAAAUAAGAUAGCUUAUAUGCAUGGAUUGUAUGUCCACAAAGCGAUGCUAGGCACAGUAGAGUCUGUACAUGAACUGACUGACAGGAAAUGAAAAAGUAGUGGUAGUUGGGGAUGUGGAGGUGUUGAUUAACCUUACUGCUUGGGGAAAGUAACUUUAUGAAUGUGGAUGAUAUGUAGCCUCCUCUCUGAUGAAAGUGGAUCAAACAGUCCAUUAGCAGGUUGGGUGGGGUCCUUCAUGAUGUUACUGGCCCUCUCUCAGCAUCUUUCUGCUUACAUGUCCCUGAUGGCAGGUAGUCUGGUGCCACUGAUUUGUCGGGCAGUUUUGAUGCUACUGUGGCCACAUCGGUACAUUUGAAGUCAACCCAUUCACAUAUAAUCCCUCCAGCUACAGUGGACUACAACCCAAAGUUUAGCUACCUAAUCCAAACCUGUAACCUCCCACCAAUUUAGUUUGCAAAAGCAGCAGAAGUAUAAUAAACUACUACCCACAAGUUCCCUUCCAAGGCACACACCAUGCUGAAUUGGACACACAGUUUUUGUUCAUCUAUUGUCACUGGAUUAAAGUCCUGGACCUUCUCAUUUAAAAGGACGGUGCAAGUAAUUUCAAGUGUGUAAUACCAACAGCUGCCUUCUCAAGGAAACCUAAAAUAAACAAUAAAUGCUUGUCUUCUUAGUGAUGCCCACAACCGAAAAAAAAAUAAGUACUGAAUGAAUUUGUUCUUAGGUGCAGUGCAUAAAUUUAGCCUCCAUUUGUUUACGUGGAUGUUAGAUAUCUGAAUGAAAAGCAAAAGGAAUUACUUAACAGGCCAGGCAGCACCUAGGGAAGUAGAAACCGGUAACAUUUCAAAUGAAUAACCCUUGAUCAGAACUGGAGAAGUUAGAAAGCAAGCAUAUUGUAAUUGAAGAGGUGAGCCAGGCAGAGAGAACAAAAGGAAGGCCGAGGAAGAGACCAAGAUUGUCCAGGUGACACAAUUAUUUUCAGUGCAUCCUGUUGUAUCACCUGGACAAUCAUGGUCUCCACACCAUCAGAAUCAGGUUUAUUAUCACGAGCAUGUGACGUGAAAUUUGUUAACUUAGCAGCAGCAGUUCAAUGCAAUACAUGAUCUAGCAGAGAGAGAAAAAAAUAUUAAAUAAAAUAAAACAUAAUAAAUAAACAAGUAAAUCAAUUCUGUAUAUUGAAUAAAUUUUAAAAUGUGCAAAAACAGAAAUACUGUGUAUUAAAAAAAAGUGAGGUUUGUGUCCAA